AGUGAACGCUGGCGGUAGGCCUAACACAUGCAAGUCGAACGGCAGCACAGUAAGAGCUUGCUCUUACGGGUGGCGAGUGGCGGACGGGUGAGGAAUACAUCGGAAUCUACUUUUUCGUGGGGGAUAACGUAGGGAAACUUACGCUAAUACCGCAUACGUCCUACGGGUGAAAGCAGGGGAUCUUCGGACCUUGCGCGAUUGAAUGAGCCGAUGUCGGAUUAGCUAGUUGGCGGGGUAAAGGCCCACCAAGGCGACGAUCCGUAGCUGGUCUGAGAGGAUGAUCCGCCACACUGGAACUGAGAAACGGUCCAGACUCCUACGGGAGGCAGCAGUGGGGAAUAUUGGACAAUGGGCGCAAGCCUGAUCCAGCCAUACCGCGUGGGUGAAGAAGGCCUUCGGGUUGUAAAGCCCUUUUGUUGGGAAAGAAAAGCAGCAGGUUAAUACCCCGCUGUUCUGACGGUACCCAAAGAAUAAGCACCGGCUAACUUCGUG
rnacentral:rRNA from 1 species